UACGUAGGGUGCGAGCGUUGUCCGGAAUUAUUGGGCGUAAAGAGCUCGUAGGCGGUUUGUCGCGUCUGCUGUGAAAACGCGAGGCUCAACCUCGCGCCUGCAGUGGGUACGGGCAGACUAGAGUGCGGUAGGGGAGAGUGGAAUUCCUGGUGUAGCGGUGGAAUGCGCAGAUAUCAGGAGGAACACCGAUGGCGAAGGCAGAUCUCUGGGCCGUAACUGACGCUGAGGAGCGAAAGCGUGGGGAGCGAACAGG
rnacentral:rRNA from 1 species